CGUAGGGUGCAAGCGUUAAUCGGAAUUACUGGGCGUAAAGCGUGCGCAGGCGGUUUUAUAAGUCAGCUGUGAAAUCCCCGGGCUCAACCUGGGAAUGGCAGUUGAGACUGUAAGGCUAGAGUGUGUCAGAGGGGGGUAGAAUUCCACGUGUAGCAGUGAAAUGCGUAGAGAUGUGGAGGAAUACCGAUGGCGAAGGCAGCCCCCUGGGUCAACACUGACGCUCAUGCACGAAAGCGUGGGGAGCAAACAGGAUUAGAUACCCUGGUAGUCCACGCCCUAAACGAUGUCGACUAGGUGUUGGGGAAGGAGACUUCCUUAGUACCGCAGCUAACGCGUGAAGUCGACCGCCUGGGGAGUACGGUCGCAAGAUUA
rnacentral:rRNA from 1 species